GGUUCCACAGUGUAGCAGUUAGCACAUCUGCUUCACACACAAAAGGUCCUGGGUUCGCGUCCCAGUGGAGACA
rnacentral:tRNA from 1 species